UCCCUGCAAAGUGUGGGUAAGGCCAC
rnacentral:piRNA from 1 species